rnacentral:lncRNA from 1 species
CUCCACUCAACAUCAGGGCCAUGAGCACACAACAAGGAAGCAAUUCCUUGUGCAGUGGCAUCGAUAGUGGCUUCGGAUGCAGGAACUUCCAACUUCGGGUAGUUGAAGGCCCAAGCGAGAAAAUUAACAUGCAAAAUAGAAAAGGCAGCAACAAGUCAGGGAAGCUAAUUUCCAACUUUCGGUCAUGUAACUGAAUAUUGUAAAGGGCUAGAAUAUUGGUCAAAGCCUCAACGGACAUCCUAUAUCACCAAAUAAUUUUUAGGGAACCGGAGGAACAUGUCAUAUAAGCGGGUAUAAAUGUUGCAGUUUUCUAUUUGAGGUGCACAUAAAUUCAUUAUAGAUGUUUUGUCAGUUAACAUUGUAUUGGCUGAUCAAGUACCCUAAAUAACCAUGUAUAGGGUCUCUGUCUUGAAAUUAGUUUGAUGAUAAUAAACUAGCUCAAAAAUGCUGGGUAGAGAAUGUGGUUAGCUGUCAUUUCACUAAACAAGCUUUUCAGCACCCAUACUACUCAAAUUUGAGAAAGGUGGUUGAAGGAAAAUGAGUUCAUAAAUGUGAAAUAAAUGGGUGCAGAAUAUAUUGCAUACCUGCCUCUUAUAAGAUGAUACAUAGCCACCCAAUGGUUCAUGAUGUACUUCAACUCCUUCGGCAUGUCCCAGUGGUGGAAAAAGUAGUGUUGGUUGGGAAAGUAUGCGGAAAAGCAAAGCAGCAGCGGUAUCAGCAGCAAUACCGGCUCU